UACAGAGGGUGCGAGCGUUAAUCGGAAUUACUGGGCGUAAAGGGCUCGUAGGCGGCCAACUAAGUCGGACGUGAAUCCCCAGGCUCAACCUGGGAACUGCGUCCGAUACUGGGAUGGCUUGAAUCCGGGAGAGGGAUGCAGAAUUCCGAGGUGUAGCGGUGAAAUGCGUAGAUAUCUGGAGGAACACCGGUGGCCGAAGGCGGGUCUCUGGGCAACUACUGACGCUGAGGAGCGAAAGCG
rnacentral:rRNA from 1 species